AUUGAACGCUGGCGGCAUGCCUUACACAUGCAAGUCGAACGGUAGAGGGGGCCACCCCUUGAGAGUGGCGAACGGGUGAGUAAUGCAUCGGAACGUGCCCAGUUGUGGGGGAUAACACUUCGAAAGAAGUGCUAAUACCGCAUACGACCUGAGGGUGAAAGGGGGGGAUCGAAAGACCUCUCGCAAUUGGAGCGGCCGAUGUCAGAUUAGGUAGUUGGUGGGGUAAAGGCCUACCAAGCCGACGAUCUGUAGCUGGUCUGAGAGGACGACCAGCCACACUGGGACUGAGACACGGCCCAGACUCCUACGGGAGGCAGCAGUGGGGAAUUUUGGACAAUGGACGCAAGUCUGAUCCAGCCAUGCCGCGUGCAGGAAGAAGGCCUUCGGGUUGUAAACUGCUUUUGUACGGAACGAAACGGUCUGGGUUAAUACCCUGGGCUAAUGACGGUACCGUAAGAAUAAGCACCGGCUAACUACGUGCCAGCCGCCGCCGUAACAC
rnacentral:rRNA from 1 species